AGUGGAUGGGGAGCAACCUAGUUGUGCGUGUGUAAAGGUAGUGCCAAGAAAAGCGAUGAUCAUGUUGAAAAUCAAUUCCCGGUACCCGAAACCGACACAGGUGGGCAAGUAGAGAAUACUAAGGGGCGCGAGGUAACUCUCUCCAAGGAACUCGGCAAAAUGACCCCGUAACUUAGCGAGAAGGGGUGCCACCGAGAGGUGGUCGCAGUGAAGAGGCCCAGGCGACUGUUUAGCAAAAACAUAGGUCUCUGCAAACUCGAAAGAGGAGGUAUAGGGGCUGACGCCUGCCCAGUGCCGGAAGGUUAAAGAAGUUGGUCAGUUUUAGGAUGAAGCUAGCGACUGAAGCCCCGGUGAACGGCGGCCGUAACUAUAACGGUCCUAAGGUAGCGAAAUUCCUUGUCGGGUAAGUUCCGACCCGCACGAAAGGCGUAACGAUCUGGGCGCUGUCUCGGAGAGAGGCUCGGCGAAAUAGGAUUGUCUGUGAAGAUACGGACUACCUGCAUUUGGACAGAAAGACCCUAUGAAGCUUUACUAUAGCUUGGAAUUGUGUUCGGGCUUCCUGUACGCAGGAUAGGUGGGAGGCGAAGAAGGUAUUCUUGUGGGGAUACUGGAGCCAACGGUGAGAUACCACUCUCAGGAGGCUAGAAUUCUAACUUAAUUAAGGACAGUUUCAGGUGGGUAGUUUGACUGGGGCGGUCGCCUCCAAAAAGGUAACGGAGGCGUACAAAGGUUCCCUCAGACUGGUUGGAAAUCAGUCGCAGAGUGCAAAGGCAGAAGGGAGCUUGACUGCGAGAAGUACAGUUCGAGCAGGGUGGAAACACGGUCUUAGUGAUCCGACGGUGCUGUGUGGAAGGGCCGUCGUUCAACGGAUAAAAGUUACUCUAGGAUAACAGGCUGAUCUCCCCCAAGAGUUCACAUCGACGGGGAGGUUUGGCACCUCAAUGUCGGCUCAUCGCAACCUGGGGCGGAGGUACGUCCCAAGGGUUGGGCUGUUCGCCCAUUAAAGCGGUACGUGAGCUGGGUUCAGAACGUCGUGAGACAGUUCGGUCCAUAUCCGAUGUAGGCGUGAGAAUAUUGAGAGGAGCCUUCCUUAGUACGAGAGGACCGGGAAGGACGCACCGCUGGUGUACCUGUUAUGAUGCCAAUUGUAAACGCAGGGUAGCCAAGUGCGGAGAGGAUAACCGCUGAAAGCAUCUAAGUGGGAAGCCCACCUCAAGAUGAGUAUUCUGGUGUAAGGUCACGGGAAGACGACCCGUAAAUAGGCACGAGGUGGAAGUGCAGAGAUGUAUGAAGCCGAAGUGUACUAAUAGACCGUCGGCUUGACC
rnacentral:rRNA from 1 species